GGAAACAUUGCUUUGUUGUCACUUUGUUUCACAUCAAGGAGGCUGGAAAUCCCCCGUAUUUCCUCACAGUUUACUAGAUAGAUUAGU